rnacentral:lncRNA from 1 species
CCAGCCGGCUACACCCAACCCAUAAGGGGAUGGUGCGAGCUAUGACAGACUGAGCUGGGAUCAUAUGCCACAACUAUGCCCCUGUGAUGCUCUUCGAUUGGCGUCACGUUCUACUGACUCAGAGAGAGAUUUUAUACACCCAUUUAUAGAUAAAAUAAAUUAUAUUAUAAAUAUUUAAUUUUCAUAGUAUUCUUCUAAUAUUUGUUAUUGGCAGGGUGUAUUUGACAUUAUUGAUUUUGAGGAGGAUCAUGUGAGGUGAGCUGUGGAUAUUUAUUUAUCAUUGCAUUUUAGAGAUUAUCGCCAUCACAUGCAUUAGCA